UUUAUCUCCUGGCAGAGGAGAUACCAUGAUCACAAAGAUGGUUUUCCCAGGGUGAGGUUUAUCCAUUGCACUCUAGAUGUGCUGACCCCUCCAAUUGCUCCAAAUGUGGGAAACUCAACUGCAUCAUUUGUGGUAGUGGGGGACUGCAUUUGCACUCUCCCC
rnacentral:snRNA from 1 species